AUGUUUUUAUCAGCUAUUUAGACUCUCAUUCUGACGGCACCCAUCCACUGCAGUGGAGAAAGUGACAUAACGCUAAUCUUCUGAUGAAGAAACAAACUAAUUUAUAUAUUGUCUGGCCUGAGGACUUUUGUCCUGACAUUACACCUGGAGGGCUACAAGAAAAUGACCAAAACUCCAAAUGAUGCUGGACUUUUUGCCACAAUGAGAAAGACAUGGAAAAAAAGUCUCACAUCAGUUCCAGCGUGAGGUCAGAUGUGUGAAGUUUUGCUCGCGUGCUAUAUGGCUGUUCUGCACCUUCCGACGACACCACUCACCAACAGACUCGCAUGGUUUAAGAGCUCUUAUCAUGUAAUUAGCAUUCUAAGCAGUUUAUUUAUUUAUUUAUUUAUUAAUAGACUUUUCAUCCAUUUUUUGUGAAAUGAAAGUCGAUGGGGUCCUUUCAGUGACUUACACUGUAUACGUAAAUAAUCAAGGAAUCAAACUGGACGGAAGAAAGUUAUGACCGGUUUGAACCAACACAAAGGUCAGUAAAGAAGCGUUUUUAUUCUUGGUUGAACUUAACGAUAACGUCUUUCUAAUAAAGCAUUCGGUCCAAUAGCUGAACACUGCAGUACAGAGAUGUAACAUUAUACAGAGUAAAGCUCUCCAGAGAAGCUCAAACAACUCCGCUAACCCACACUGGCCCAUUUCCUAAAGCCUGGAUCAAACCACACUCUGAUCUAAACUUACAUGAGACCCAAAGAGCUCCAUCUUGUUGGCACGUCUCUACUUUUGAAGUGAAAUACACAUUAAUGACCUCUGUCUGGCAUCACUCGCUUGUCAUUCUAAAGCAUCAUCCACCAGACUCACGGGGGAGCCCCCUCUGCCUGCUAAAUGAUACAUCAAGACAGUUCAUCCGUCAGCAUUGAUUAGAAAUUGAUUAAUCAGGAGUUGAUUAGAGACAGAAGAAGGGAGGUCAUUCGAUUCAUCAUCCUAGCCUGCUAGAAAUUAAGUAUAAUUAAGUAACAGAGGAUUUAGUACUUUAAAUCGCAGACAAGAUAAAGGGAAACGGUCCCAAUUAAUGUGAUCUAAAGAUAACUGACCUUGCUGAUUUGUUUAAUAUUUUGUUCAAACAAUAUUAAUGGUUAAAUCAUGGACAAAAAGCAUAUUUUAAUAAUAGACGUGUGACCCUGUCCAUGACACCUUGCGUAAUUUAGCAGUGAAUGUGAAAUUAUGGCUGAUGUUAGAAUCCAUGAGAAGUAAUUAGAAAGACCUGUUUGUUGUGUGGGAAAGUUUCCUUUAAAAGUAAUGCAUUACAAUAUUCGGUGCCACUUUAUAUUAGGUGGCCAUAAUUUGGUACAAUGCACUUAUUAUGUACAUACAUGCUUUUACAUGGUACUUAUAUUUUUAAAAGUACCUGUAGUUACAUCUGUAAUACAUUUUUGUACUUUAUAAUUGCACUGUUGACCCCUUACACCUUAAUCUACCCCUAAACCUAACCAUACCACCAAAUCUGUUCCUAAACAUACCCAUAUCCAACUCUGUAGCAACAAAAGUAAAAUUUUCUUAUUUUUUUGGUGUAAGUACAUAGUAGUUAAGGCCACAUAAUAUAAACUGUGACCCAGUAUUGUUUCACUCUCUAAAAAAAUAACUAAUUGCAUUAUUUUUUACGUAAUGUUUGACAUUACUUUUAAAUCUGGGCAGGGCUUUUUUGUUUAUUCUUAUUUUACAAAUGAAUACCCCUCAGGCUGAGGGAAAUGUAAAUUAAUGUGAGUAAAUGGCAUGAAGAAUAUAACAGCAGAAGAAAUUUCAACACUAGUUGACAAUAAUAAAACUGAAACCCAGAUGUGUCAUUUUUAGUAUGGUUGUACUGGAUCAUCAAAUGUCAGCAGCAAAGACACUAUGAUAUUUGUCUUAUUUAACAUAGUUGAAUAUUACAUAUUGUACAAUAUUCUCAAUUUGCACUUGACUUUUUAUUCAUCUUUUGAGGAAUACUGUUAUUAUAGGCUAAUAUUAUUAGGCCUAUAAUUUCAUCUUUCAGUUCAUCUGAAUGAAUGUGCAGUGUGACGUACCUUUCUUUAAAAUAAAAUAAUCAACCUGAAUGUUGCUCAAUACAAACUUUUUUCUGCAUUUAUACACAGUAAAGUGCGCACAGUAAAUAGCAUUUUUUUUCUGAAGGUGUUCCUUCCGCCCUGUUGUACCCUACCUCAAAUGUAUGACUUAUAGAUACAGUGCAUUUAAAAGGUGUCCUCUAAAAACUCGUGACUAGGAAUAAAGACUGGAGUCAAAAAAAGUGAAAUGCAUGCAAUCAAAUGACUCAGCUCGUCUUAUCCGUGUAGCUCAUCUCAUUUAAUUUCAUCAAAUAAGCAGCCUUGACACAUUCCCCAGCUGCAGUUCAGUUGCCAGCUUAUAUUGUGAUCUUCUUGUGCCACGACGCAAGCUAUGAUGGAGCAUUAUGUUCUUGUCCUAACGCUUCUGCCAGUGUUCCAAAAUGAGCCUGCCAAUUCAAGAAUACCCCGACUGGUGCUCCAAAUACUAAUUUCCCAGGGCAUUGUGGGCUCAACUCCGAAUCUGUUCAACCAACCGAACCCUCCCAGAUCCGGCAACCUGGGUAGCUGCUGAUGUAAUUGAUCCAUUUGUUUAGCAAAGUAAGAAAAACAAUUUAACCCCGCUACUUCUGCCAAGCCAAGAGCUGUCAGUCAUUUUCUUUGUUGAGUAGAAGAGGAGACAGUCACUUCAGUUGGCAAGUGAAAGUGAAAGCACAAAAAAGUCCUUCACAGACAAAUUGAAAGUGGAACACAUAGAGGUUCGAUUUAAUAGCAGUUUAAUUGGACGCAGUAGCUUGCUUCACUGGCUUUUGUUCACAGGGGGUGGGGGGAAGGUGUUCAGGUGGCCUUCUUGAAUCACCACUAUUACCAACACCAACUCAUCCCCCCAACUCACUUGAACAAAUGCGUACUACAUUGGGAACUCCAUUAACUACAUCCAUUUGACUGCACAGCUAACCACCACAACAACUUUCAGAGGAAUAAAUGAAUGUCUGAAGAACAGAUCGAUAGAGCAAAGGUUUGGAUCCAGCGGGAAAAAGAAAAAUGAGACAGGCAAAGACACACGCAUACACACCGAAGGUCAACACUCUCUGAAAAACUAGUUCCUUAAAAAAAAACUGCACACAGCUGAAGA